AGUGAACGCUGGCGGUAGGCCUAACACAUGCAAGUCGAACGGCAGCACAGUAAGAGCUUGCUCUUACGGGUGGCGAGUGGCGGACGGGUGAGGAAUACAUCGGAAUCUACUUUUUCGGGGGGGAUAACGUAGGGAAACUUACGCUAAUACCGCAUACGACCUACGGGUGAAAUCAGGGGAGCUUCGGACCUUGCGCGAUUGAAUGAGCCGGUGUCGGAUUAGCUAGGUGCCGGGGUAAAGGCCUACCAAGGCGACGAAACGUAGCCGGCCUGAGAUGAUGAGCGGCCACCCUGGAACUGAGACACGGUCCAGCCUCCUACGGGAGGCAGCAGGAGGGAAUCUUCCGCAAUGGGCGAAAGCCUGACGGAGCAACGCCGCGGGAGUGAUGAAGGUCUUCGGAUCGUAAAGCUCUGUUAUUAGGGAAGAACAAAUGUGUAAGUAACUAUGCACGGCUUGACGGUACCUAAUCAGAAAGCCACGGCUAACUACGUG
rnacentral:rRNA from 1 species